rnacentral:rRNA from 1 species
GGAAUCUUCCACAAUGGGCGAAAGCCUGAUGGAGCAACGCCGCGUGUGUGAUGAAGGGUUUCGGCUCGUAAAACACUGUUGUAAGAGAAGAAUGACAUUGAGAGUAACUGUUCAAUGUGUGACGGUAUCUUACCAGAAAGGAACGGCUAAAUACGNGCCAG